ACUAAUCUUAAUAACUAACACAAUAAUAAUAUUAAUAAUUUUAUAUACAAAAUAAUACUAACUAAAAUUAUUAAAUGGAAUUAGUUACAUGAAUAAAGUCUGCUCUUUCUAGCAUGUCUCUGUCUGCUCUCUCUAGCAGUAUUAGGGUUUUUUGGUUUUGUUUUAUUGAUAUAAUGUGACGGUGUCUUCUAUUAAGAUCAUUCUUCUUACUUUCGACAUUAAGGUUUAGAGUAAGUAUGGAGACAUAAUUUGCGGGAUUAACGUUGGAGGAGGAGGAAGACGAAACUUUUCAAAUUCAAUCUAAGGAGGAAACGAAUGGAGUAACGGAAGUCUUGCAAUUGGUGGGUUGUUUCUUAACGACAAGUAUUGUCCAUUUUCCAGCAAUGAGAAGUACUAUGGCAAAUUUGUGGCACCCCGUACGGGGAGUUCAAAUUAGAUAUUUGGGGGAAAAAAAGGUACUUAUUUCAAUUUUUUCAUAUAAUGGAUCUUGAAAGGGUUUUAAACGGGUCACCUUGGACUUUUAACAAUCACUUAUUGAUCUUCCAUAAACUGCAAAGGGAGGAGGACCCUUUAAAGGUCCCGCUCCUUUGAAGGUCCCGCUUAUCUACUCACCUCUAUGGACCCAAAUACAUGAUGUCCCAAUUGGUUUCGUAUCAGAAAAUCUGGCAAUUCAAAUGGGAAAUUUUAUUGGAGAGUUCCUGGAAUAUGAUGGUUCAAACCUGGGAAAACAAAGUAGAAGUUUUAUGAGAAUACGAGUCAAAAUUGAUAUAAGGCACCCUUUAAAAAGGAAAAAACAGAUAAGGUGAUAUGGAAAAUGCUUAUAUGUUCGUUUUAAAUAUGAACGACUUUUACUUUUUUGCUUUUUUUGUGGUCGAUUGGGCCAUAGCGAAUCCUUUUGUGAAGCAAAAAUGGCGUUAGGAGCGGAAACCAAAGAGAUGGGAUGUGAUUUAUCAAUUAGGGCACAAUCUCGUCGAGCUCAAAUGAUGACCAGUGUAUGGUUGCGAGAAGAAUGUGAGGGACAAGGGAGAGGAAACAAUAGGGAAUGGCAAACUAAGGAGGUUAACGUCAAGGAUCCAAUGGAUAAUAGGGGGAUUUGUGAAUUUUUUGAUCCAGUAUUAGGAAUUAAUUUGGUAGGAAGGGAAUAUCAUACAGGAAGUAAAUACAAGAAUGAAAGUGGUAAUUUGGAGAACAGUUCAAUGGAACAUGAUCUUGAAGAUGAUGUGAUCAUUGGAGAAGAGGGUAAAAAGAGAAACAGAAGAGAGAUGGAAGAUGUCUUGGCCAAAGAGAAUACUAACGUUUUGGUAGAAAAGAGUAAGAGAACAAUGGAGGUUAAUCAUAAAUUAUCGGCGACUGUCAAAUGGGCAGCUGACCGAUCGUAAUGAAAAUUUUAAGUUGGAAUAUCCGCGGAUUGCGGAGUCCACGGGCAAUUCAGAGGCUUCGGUAUAUGCUGAAGUUAUACAAUCCCCAGAUAGUCUUCUUUAUGAAGACGAAAAUUAAUUGCAGUCAGAUGGAAAAAGUUAGAAUAAGCUGUGGGUUUUUUAACGGUAUUGAUGUUAGUUCAGAGGGAUUUAGAGGUGGACUAUGUUUGGCUUGGCGAGCCGGGAUAAAUGUCCAGCUCCAAAGCUUUUCAAAACGACAUAUUGAUGUGAUCAUUAAUGAUAGAGCAGAAGGGUACAAAUGAAGGUUUACAAGGUUUUAUGGGUCUCCAUAUCCACAAGAAAGAGUUAAGGUAUGGAAUCUUUUACGUCACUUAGGCAUGGUUAGGGAGCUACCAUGGAUGGUUUGUGGAGACUUCAAUGAAAUUUUGUAUAGCUUGCCGCGUGAGGAAAGACGAAUGGAAGCUUUUUGUAAAAUAUUGGACGAGUGUAACUUGUCUGAUAUGGGGUUUAAUGGAAACUGGUUUACGUGGGAAAAGGGGAAUUUGCCUGAAACUAAUAUUCAAGAGAGGUUGGAUAGGGGAGUAGCGAAUGAAGAAUGGUUACAAAUAUUCCCUGAAUUUCAGAUUCAGCAUCUCCCACAUACAUUUUCUGAUCAUUGCCCAUUAUUGGUUCAUACAAAAAAGGAAUGUAGAGAAAGGGUUCAUAAAGAAUUCAAGUUUGAAGCAUGGUGGGUCUUGGAGGAUUCAUUCUUAGAAGAAGUUAAAAACAUCUGGGUGCAUUCUGAGGGUGAGUUUUUAAGUAAGCUAAACAAUAUGAAAAGGGGGUUGGAACGAUGGGCAAAAAAAAUACAUUACUUUAGAGAAGGAAGGACAAAGUUGCUAUCCACAAAACUGGCCACAUUAUUAGAGGCAGAAAGAGAUGAGGAAAAUCUGGCAGAUCUGAUUGAUACAAAAAUUCAACUGAACUUGGAGAUUGAAAAGGAUGAAUGGUAUUGGGAACAAAGGGCGAGGGUUAAUUGGUUAAAGCUUGGGGGCAAGAAUACAGCCUUCUUCCACAAACAAGCAACGCAGAAAAGACAGAGGAACCUGAUUCGAAAAAUGCAGAAUGAUGAUAGAUGGGAAACAGAGGAUUUAAAGGAAAUGGAAGCGAUAGCCAAAAUUUAUUUUCAAAAGAUUUUUUCUGCUGGUAGACGAGCAAAUUAUGAGUAUGUUUUGUUUGGAGUUACUCAAUGUAUAUCGGAGGAAGACAAUUUUAUGCUAAAAGAGAGAUAAACAAAGGAGGAGAUUCAGCAGGCGUUAUCAGAAUUAGGGCCCACCAAAGCACCAGGGGAAGAUGGACUUCCAGCAUUAUUCUACCAGAAAUGCUGGACGAUUAUUGGGGAUGAGGUGACUAACUUUUGUCUCAAUCAUCUAAAUGGAGGGAUGGAGAUUAGCCCAAUCAACAAAACAAAUAUCGUUUUAAUUCCGAAAAUUUCAAAUCCAAUGGAUAUUUCACACUUUAGGCCCAUUAGUUUGUGUAAUGUUAUAUAUAAAUUAAUGGCCAAAGUUAUUGCGAAUCGUCUUCGAAAAGUUUUAGAAAAAUGCAUUAAUCCUGCCCAAAGUGCUUUUGUGCCUGGGAGAUUAAUUUCGGAUAAUAUAUUGUUGGCUUAGGAGCUACUCCAUACACUAAAACAAAAGAGGGUAGGGAAGAAAGGAUUUAUGGCGGUCAAGUUGGAUAUGAGCAAGGCAUAUGAUAGGGUAGAAUGGAACUUUGUGGAGGAGAUGUUGAAGAAAAUGGGCUUCAACUCAGAGUGGGUAGCUUUACUUUUAAGGUGUGUAAAUUCAGUUUCUUAUUCGGUGGUUCUUAAUGGGCUAAAUGGAGAAAUUUUCACCCCCUCUAGAGGAUUGCGACAAGGUGACCCAUUGAGUCCGUUUUUAUUCCUAUUUUGUGGAGAAGGCCUUUCUAGCCUCAUGAGGCUAGGAAUACAAGAGAACAAAGUCAGAAGGGUCAAAGCAAGCAGAAAUAGACCGCAGGUUUCACAUCUACUAUUUGCAGAUGAUUGUAUGCUGUUUGGGGAAGCAACAGAAAGGAGUUCAAGUUAGUUAAAACAGAUUCUGCAUCAAUACGAAGUUUGCUCGGGUUAUUAGGUAAAUUAUUCGAAGUCUACAAUUUUUUUCAACAGCAACACACAGCAGGAAGAAAGACAAACAAUUUCUCGAGUCCUUGGGGUGCGGGGAUCAGAUGAUAUGGAAAGAUAUCUAGGGCUCCCUAACUUGGUGGGAAGAAGGAAAAAUGCUGCGUUUCAGAUUUUAAAAGAUUGAUUCAGGCAACGAAUUGAUAAUUGGAGCAUCAAAUACCUUUCACAAUGAGGUAAGGAGAUUUUCAUCAAAGCUGUUUUACAAUCCAUUCCAACCUACGCAAUGUCUUGUUUUUUACUCCCUAAAUCUCUUUGUAAGGAAUUAGAAAGCAUUAUUGCAAAAUUUUGGUGGCAAAAAAAUAAGGGGAAAAAGGGGAUCCAUUGGUGUGCAUGGAAGGACAUUUGCUUAGCAAAAGAAUUAGGUGGUCUAGGUUUUAGAUGCUUAGAUAAGUUUAAUAUAGCAUUAUUAGCUAAACAAGAUUGGCGUCUUAUUAAUUAUCUGAAUUCUUUGUUAGCCCAAGUUUUAAAAGCUAAAUACUUUCCUAGAACUUCUUGAAUGCAUCUUCUAGUAACUUACCUUCACUUACUUGGAGGAGCAUUUGGUCAACAAAAAAACUUCUGAUGGACGGAUUAUGCUGGAGGGUAGGUGUAGGGGACCAUAUCUCCGUAUGAAAUGAUUGCUGGGUUUCGGGAGCAACUGAAGAUAGAUUACAGAAUAACAGCAGAAGUGAAAAUAUCAGAGUAGUGGCCGACUUAAUCAAUGCAGAGAGUAGAACAUGGAAAAGAGACUUGAUUGUCAAUACCUUUAAUACGGAUAUCGCAAGGAAGAUUCUGCGGAUUCCGCUUUCAAAGACUGCCGAAGAAGACAUCCAAGUAUGGAGAGGGGAGGCUACUGGAUUCUUUUCAGUUAGAAGCGCUUAUAAACUAUUACAGGAGUCAACAUUAGAGCCUAAUGAUUAUUUACAGACUGAUACAAAAAAUUUCUACAAGAAAUUAUGGAAUCUAUAGUUGCCCUCAAAAAAAUCAAAAUUACAGUAUGGAGAAUCACGUGGAAUUACAUAUCCACCUUCUCUAAUCUAAAAUCGAGAAGAGUAAUGACUGAGGUCCGUUGUUUGAGAUGUAGCCAGGACGAAGAAGAUAGCAUCCACGUCUUCCAAAGGUGUCCUAUAGCAAAAGAAAUAUGGAGUCAUUUGAACUUUUCUUGGGUACUUAAUGACAAUCAUGGUGAUAUAUGGAGUUGGCUUAUCUGGGUAUUCAGCAAAGGGACAAAUGAACAGUGCAUGGGAUUUUGUUGCGGGCUAUGGGGAAUCUGGACAAGCAGAAAUAAGUUUAUAUAUGAAGGAAAAUAUAGUACCAGUUGGGAUAUAUCCAAGCAAAUUCAAAGCUAUAUUUCAGAACUAGAAGGUGUUAAAGAAAGGGUACUCACUUUGGCAACCAGUACAAGGCCUAGACAGAGGAUACAAAGGGCGAAUAAGGCCAUCUUUUUCGAUGCGGCGUUUGAUUCACAAAACCACAUAUCUGCGUCAGGCCUUAUUGUUAAAAAUGAGGCGGGCAGAAUCGUUGGAGCAAAAUCGAUCCUUCAUGACAAUGUUGCAUCUCCGUUUGCGGCGGAAGCAUAUGCAGGAUUUCAAGCAACAAAGUUAGGGAUCCAGUUGAGAUAUUAUACUUUGGAUAUAAUAGGAGAUUCAAAAACAGUGAUAACAAAAUGUCAAAGUGGAAACCGGGACAGAUCAGAAAUAGGAGCAAUUAUCAGCGAUAUUCAAAGCUUAAAAGAUUUCUUCCAAAAAGUCAGAUUUUACUUCAACUCAAGGUCUGAAAAUAUUGAAGCACACAGACUAGCAAAAAGAACACUUCAGAUGGGAGUGGAACAGUACCUGGAGGGAGAGACCUUAAGAUCGAUUGGUGAAGACUCGGAGCCAAGCUGCUUGGGUAAUCCAGAGUAGAAAGGAAAGGGGAUAAGAUUUUGGCUUUUGGCAUCAAGAAAUAACGAUUGAAAUGAAAGGGAGGAUGCUGUUUGUAAAAGUAAUCUGAUAAGUAAAAGAUUUGAAAGGAUUUGCUUUUACUUUUCAGUUGUCUUGGGCAGAGGAAAAGGCAGAUGGAUUUAUGAACACAACUGACCGAUC
rnacentral:lncRNA from 1 species